UUUCUGUCACCAAUGAUUCCUCACGUCCAUUUGCUCAUUUUCUCACUGCUUUAAUCAGAGCAGCCAUUUGCAGUCGAGAGCAUCAGCAGGCGCGGAUAAUGGCUUCAGCCGCUCUUCCUCAUCCCAGGCGUCUCGCCUGAUGGUCAUCGGCGUGGGGAACGAGACCAGCAGCCGCCCGUGUUUGAGAUCCGAACAGAAGAUUUCUCAAGUGUACAAAAAAGGAGAAGCCGGCAUGUAAGGUUUAGAUAUGGAAAGACAUCUUGCAAGAGUAUGCCGACGAGCUCCAGAACUACAGCAUGUCGAGGCAGUACAGCAUGAAUCUUUUUCCUUUUUUUACGUGGACAGAAGAUCUUAUUCGGUGUUGUUUAUGUUUUGACCCUCUCCCAACAUGCUUGUUUUUCACUUUUUUUUUUUUUUGCAAGACACUUCUGCGUGCAAGGUUUGGAUAUAGGAAGACAUUUUGCGAGACUAUGUCAACGAGCUGCUAAAGUACAACAUCGGAUGCCCCCAUAAUCCCUUCAGAGCAGUUAUCGAUUCUUUGAAGGUUGUGGAGGAGAAAAAUCGCCAGCUUGUUCUUCUUCAAGAUGAAAUCGAAAGAUGCCACCGUUUGCUUCAACAGAAAUUCGACGACACCGAAGUCCUGGUUGAGCCUCUCGCGUCAUGAGGGCUCGUUCGAGAAGGAUAUUCUCUAUGUUUAUUAUUGUUGUAGUCUCAUUUCUUGUAACCAAAAACCUUAUAUUUGGUUCCUAGUUUAUUGUAAUUAUUUGUUACUAAUAACUUCUUAGCGUCCAGUGUAGUAUCAUGGUAAUCGCCGUGUUACUAGGGGGCGACAAUCGUAUUGUGGCAGAUAUAAGCCAAGUUAAUUAAGGUGCAAAUUUGAUGUGUUAA